UAGGCAAAUUUAAGAGGGCAAGUCUGGUGCCAGCAGCCGCGGUAAUUCCAGCUCCAAUAGCGUAUAUUAAACUUGUUGCAGUUAAAAAGCUCGUAGUUGAAUUUUAGCGUGUUCGAGUUUGCCAUUCGUUUGGCUUUUUCGAGUUCGCUUUUGGGUUUUCCCUUUUUACUUUGAGAAAAUUAGAGUGUUUCAAGCAGACUUUUGUCUUGAAUACUUCAGCAUGGAAUAAUAGAGUAGGACUUUGGUUCUAUUUUGUUGGUUAUUGAACCUUAGUAAUGGUUAAUAGGAACGGUUGGGGGCAUA
rnacentral:rRNA from 1 species